rnacentral:rRNA from 1 species
UGCAGUCGAGCGAACAGAUGAAGUGCUUGCACUUCUGACGUUAGCGGCGAACGGGUGAGUAACACGUAAGGAAUCUACCUAUAAGCGGGGGAUAACAUUCGGAAACGGGUGCUAAUACCGCAUAAUAUCUUCUUCCGCAUGGAAGAAGAUUGAAAGACGGCUCUGCUGUCACUUAUAGAUGACCUUGCGGUGCAUUAGUUAGUUGGUGGGGUAACGGCCUACCAAGACGAUGAUGCAUAGCCGACCUGAGAGGGUGAUCGGCCACAUUGGGACUGAGACACGGCCCAAACUCCUACGGGAGGCAGCAGUAGGGAAUCUUCCGCAAUGGGCGAAAGCCUGACGGAGCAAUGCCGCGUGAGUGAAGAAGGCCUUCGGGUCGUAAAACUCUGUUAUAAGAGAAGAACAAAUUGUAGAGUAACUGCUACAGUCUUGACGGUAUCUUAUCAGAAAGCCACGGCUAACUACGUGCCAGCAGCCGCGGUAAUACGUAGGUGGCAAGCGUUGUCCGGAUUUAUUGGGCGUAAAGGGAGCGCAGGUGGUUUCUUAAGUCUGAUGUGAAAGCCCACGGCUUAACCGUGGAGGGUCAUUGGAAACUGGGAAACUUGAGUACAGAAGAGGAAUGUGGAACUCCAUGUGUAGCGGUGGAAUGCGUAGAUAUAUGGAAGAACACCAGUGGCGAAGGCGACAUUCUGGUCUGUUACUGACACUGAGGCUCGAAAGCGUGGGGAGCAAACAGGAUUAGAUACCCUGGUAGUCCACGCCGUAAACGAUGAGUGCUAGGUGUUGGAGGGUUU